rnacentral:rRNA from 1 species
AGUGAACGCUGGCGGUAGGCCUAACACAUGCAAGUCGAACGGCAGCACAGUAAGAGCUUGCCCUUACGGGUGGCGAGUGGCGGACGGGUGAGGAAUACAUCGGAAUCUACUUUUUCGUGGGGGAUAACGUAGGGAAACUUACGCUAAUACCGCAUACGACCUACGGGUGAAAGCAGGGGAUCUUCGGACCUUGCGCGAUUGAAUGAGCCGAUGUCGGAUUAGCCAGUUGGCGGGGUAAAGGCCCACCAAGGCGACGAUCCGUAGCUGGUCUGAGAGGAUGAUCAGCCACACUGGAACUGAGACACGGUCCAGACUCCUACGGGAGGCAGCAGUGGGGAAUAUUGGACAAUGGGCGCAAGCCUGAUCCAGCCAUACCGCGUGGGUGAAGAAGGCCUUCGGGUUGUAAAGCCCUUUUGUUGGGAAAGAAAAGCAGCAGGUUAAUACCCCGCUGUUCUGACGGUACCCAAAGAAUAAGCACCGGCUAACUUCGUG